rnacentral:rRNA from 1 species
AUGGAGACCGACUGUCAAGACUUUGUCACUCUCUGGAAUUUGCGCCAAGUUUCACGAUCUGUGCUGGCGCCAAUCAUAGCUGAAAUAGGGGAGCUCGCUUGUUCUUUUACCUCUUUUGUUAUUCAACAUAUUUCUAGGUCAGCAAACUUUUCUGCUCAUCUAUGUGCAAAGCAUGCGAGCACGCUGGAUGUGACAGACUACUGGUUGGCCUCCAGGCCCAGUUUUCUUGUAACUAGCCUUAUGGCAGAUUUUGCCGGGGCCUUCGUUGAAUAA